GAUCCAGCAGGGCUUUUCUUAUGUUUACCCUUUCUCAGACGAGGAGAAGUCUUGGAUUGCCACUCUUCCCUGAGGCGUGAACAAGCAAAGGCGGUGGGGAACCAAUACUGACAAUUAGGGGUAACUUUGAACUCGCAGUAAAGCCUCAGAAAACCCACAGUAAAACCAGCUGUCCGGGAAAGCUCCAGAAGAGACCUCUGCCCAGGAAUCUGGAGAUCCACAGUCAGAGAGGAAAAACAUACUGGGCUAGAUGGACCAGUGGUUGGAUGAAAUGUGUUCACAUAAAAUGGAGGGCAACCAAAAUAAUAUCCUUUUGAACUGAGCAAGCAUGUUGUCAAGCAGUGUAAUCUCAAUGAGACAAAUAUAUUGCAGGUGUUCUUUUAUCCA